CUAAAUUACAACCUAAAUUUUGUGGCAUACCCCUUGUACAGCAGCAGCAUCCCCAGACAAACGUGAACAGAGCGCACCAACAGAAUUCUUCUCUUCAUCAAACCAACCCAUCUCCUGACGCAGCAUAGCAGCAAAGAAAAUUCUUGAACUAGGAGGAUACCUUGCCAGGUCCAGUGUUGAAGCAACUCAUCUCGUCAUGGGCUCGUCUACAGCUCAACGCACCGUCAAGUUUAUGUGUGCAAUCUCUUCGUGCAAUUAUGUACUGUCUUUGCAGUGGAUAAUAGACUCCCAUGCUGAAGCCAAAUUUUUAUAUUUGACAGAGGAUUUUCGUCGGCGUAGAGAAUAUCUGGUAGACAGUGUGUGGACCAAGGCACCUGGGGACAUGCUAGCCAAAUCCUCUAUGAUAUCUUGACUGAAUUCAGCUAUGCUGUCAGUGUCAUGGGUAUCCUUAUCCUCAGAUGAUGAUAGGUCCUUACUUUCUAAUGAAGAGACCAAUUAUUUUAUAAGCAUCUAAAUUACUCUAGUGCAGAAUACAUGGCAAAUGGAGAAAAUUUAGCAGUUUUUUAAGCUUUGUCUAUACCAGGCAUGUCAAACUGAGGGUCCCCACAAGGGCCAUAUGGGUUACAUUUGUGUUAUCGUUAAGGCCACACAUGAUUAAGUCGUUCAAUAAUAAUUAUUGCAGAAUAUUUUUAUUACUUAGAAACUUUUCUUUAACCUGGAAACAUUACUUAAACAAGUGUGCUUGCAAAAGGCCACAUGUUCGACAUGCCUGGUCUAUACCACACGUAUGUUCAACCUAAUGCAUCCCACACCCACACGAAAGUGAGAAUUGAAGUAAUAAUCACACAGUAAUGACAUUACUUCAAAUAUUUGUAAAUGCUAAAUUGGUUUAAUUAUUGAAUUACAGAACCUGAACCACAUUCAU